rnacentral:misc_RNA from 1 species
GAAUGGUCCUCUUCCUUGGCCUUUGUUUCUAGCGGUGACUUAGAGUUUACCUUCUGAACAUUCUUUUUCUCCAAUUUUUUAUUUAUAGAUUCAUCCUCAUUUUUAGCAUCCUCAUCAAUAUUGUCAUUGUCACUGGUCUCUGAAUCUGACCAAUUCUUUGUCGCCCUGCUUUUUAAAUAUUCCAUAUCCAAAAGUUUAUCAUCAUGGGCAGAGUUUUUAU